rnacentral:rRNA from 1 species
AGGGAGUUUGAUCCUGGGGCUCAGAUUGAACGCUGGCGGCAGGCUUAACACAUGNAANUCGAACGGUAACAUAAAGAAGCUUGCUUCUUUGAUGACGAGUGGCGGACGGGUGAGUAAUGCUUGGGAAUCUAGCUUAUGGGGGGGGAUAACUACGGGAAACUGUAGCUAAUACCGCGUAGUAUCGAGAGAUGAAAGUGUGGGACCUUCGGGCCACAUGCCAUAGGAUGAGCCCAAGUGGGAUUAGGUAGUUGGUGAGGUAAAGGCUCACCAAGCCGACGAUCUCUAGCUGGUCUGAGAGGAUGACCAGCCACACUGGGACUGAGACACGGCCCAGACUCCUACGGGAGGCAGCAGUGGGGAAUAUUGCGCAAUGGGGGCAACCCUGACGCAGCCAUGCCGCGUGAAUGAAGAAGGCCUUCGGGUUGUAAAGUUCUUUCGGUAGCGAGGAAGGCAUUUAGUUUAAUAAACUAGGUGAUUGACGUUAACUACAGAAGAAGCACCGGCUAACUCCGUGCCAGCAGCCGCGGUAAUACGGAGGGUGCGAGCGUUAAUCGGAAUAACUGGGCGUAAAGGGCACGCAGGCGGUGACUUAAGUGAGGUGUGAAAGCCCCGGGCUUAACCUGGGAAUUGCAUUUCAUACUGGGUCGCUAGAGUACUUUAGGGAGGGGUAGAAUUCCACGUGUAGCGGUGAAAUGCGUUAGAGAUGUGGAGGAAUACCGAAGGCGAAGGCAGCCCCUUGGGAAUGUACUGGACGCUCAUGUGC